GAUUUAAUAGGCACCGACUUGUAAAAAGCCAACCGUAUAAAUACUAUCAAUCCUUCGUUUUCUUCUCAUUACAUUGUCUCCAUAAAAACUCGAGCCCUAACCUUCAUUCGCCAUUACAAUCUCUCCUUUCUCCACUGUUAAAUACCUCUAAAACCAGACUAACCCUAAUUUUCCUCUUUUGUUUCUAUUAUCCGCCUUCGCGUAUUGUCUCUACAGUUUUAGCCACCGUCUCGGUCUUUCCUCGGAACCCUAAUUCUUCGUCGCUUCCUUUAGAAACCCUAAUAUCCGAACCUGAUCUUUCGAAACCCUCGAUUUGUCGAAAAUUCUAUAUAAUCCAAGACAAUAAUAAUAACUAUUAUAAGAAUUUUGUUGAUUCUGUUUGUUAAUUAUAUUUUGCAAAUAUUGUUUCUUUGAAUUUUUGAGAUAAGCCGUUGUUCUUCCUGAUCUUCAAUUUUCCGAACCAUACAAAUACUUUUUUUGAUAGUUAGAAUACUAUCUCAAAUUGUCAGUUUAGUCCUCCAGGUUUAACGGAUUUAUACUUUUUCCGUUUAUUUUUAAAUCACUUGUAUACUUUUCACUGGGUCUUGAUAUUGGGGAGAGAUGGUUGGGGGAGGCAGGAGAGACGAGGGAUCAUUGGUGAUCAACAACACUAAUGUUUUUGCAGCGCUUGAGACUCUGAGGAAGAAAAAGAAGUCAGAUAAGGAGCGUGGUUCAUCCAAGAGUGGUAAAGGAUCCUCUAAAUCACAAUCGCAACAGCAGCAGAAGGAGCCUGCUCCUGAAUUAUUUUGGGCUCCUGCUCCACUCAAUGCUAAAUCUUGGGCUGAUGUGGAGGAUGAAGAUGAUGACGACUACUAUGCCACCGCAGCCCCUGUUUGGGGUUCUUCGGAGCCACAGCAGACUGAUGAUAAGCCCACCCACAUAGAGGUGAGUAGCAGGAUUUCUCUAUAUAGUUGCCUGUAAUGUUAGUUGAUAAACUCUAAACAGGUUAUGUUACUAUUAAUACUAGAUUUUAUGUUUGGUUUUCUACCUGUUUGGGCAUUGUUGGAUAUUGAUGCUUUGUUGUUAAUGCUAUCUGUUAAGCGUCAGAACAGCUGGUUAAGUGAUUUCGUUGGCAUAGUUUGAUUUUAUUUCUCAACUUCUUAACCUAAAAGGGGAAGGUCCAGAUGUGGGUAAAAGAUCCCCAGUGGAUGAAUCUUACGCAUUAUGUGUCAAAUUCUGUAUGUUUUUUCUAGUUGUUUAUAUGAUGCUGUGCGACAGAGUUAACUAAAUUAUGAUGCUUGGGGUGGAUGAAGCAUCAGGUGCUUGUAAUAUUCAACUUUCAGCAAGUAUCUGUGGACUUGGGGGCUGUUGGAUUUAAAUAUUAGAUUAUUUAUAGUCUUUCAAUGUGAAUCAGGACUGAAGAAAUGUAGAGGUUCAAACAUUAGAAAGGAGGCACAGGGUCGUGAUCCAUGUAAAUUCUGUUUGUUUUUCUGGAUAAAUUUAUCUAAUUAUGGUGAUUAUCGGUAGGUUCAAGUUGUGCUUUUUUGGAUCUACUUUUGAACAGUUUGAGGGUAGACAUUUUCUUUAGAAGGGUGGGAUACUUCUACAUCUAUGUUGAGCAAAUGUCCAGGAUAUUUCUUAUAUCAAAGCAAAGGAAUAGAGUGAAGAACUCGAUUCUUUUUUUUUCCCCUCCUUGGAUUAUAUGUGUGAUGGCCAAAAAGGGUAGAAUCAUCCCUUUAAUUUGUCAUCUUAGCCGAAUGGCACCUUUAACUAAAGGGUCGACCUAUUAUAUCCUUCAAAUUAUCAAUUUCACACGCAUUAAACACUUGAGAAGCCAAUCUAGCCACCAUGUGGUGUUAUUCUCUCUUGGGCUAGUGAAACAUGGAAAUAAAUGACUACAUAUAUAUAUAAUAUAAUAAUAGAAGAUCAACAGAAAUUGUCCCAUAAAUCCAUUGAAGAACUGUAGCAUCCAAUUGAGACCGCAGUCUUGGAUCGACUUCAGUAGCCGUAGAAGAUUCCUUGUCUUUAUCAGAUGACAAGGGUGGAAUAAUGAAAUCGAGAACUUUAUAGGCACGGCAAUGAAUUUUGAACAAUUCCGCCCAAGAGGAAUAUUGCCCCUUUUCAGUCUCAAGAAUGAUUGGAAUAAAAUUUCGGAUAUUGUUAACAGCAAGGGCUGGAUGAAAAUCAUGCUUGCCUGCCAUGGUUUAGAAAAGAGAAGAAAAGAGAUAGAGAUGAAGAAAAGAACUAGGGUUUAGAGAGAGCGGCUUGAAAUUGCGUGCUCUGAUACCAUAUAGGAAAUCCCCCCGCGUGUAUUCAUUUAGAAUAAGCUUAUAUACAUGUGUAGUAUUAUGUAAUUACAAAUAUACCACUAACUCAAUUUACAUAGCCAAAAUAUACAUCAGUACAUAGUCUAACAGGCGGUUACACUUUUUUAUUUCCUUUUGUUUUUCUCUCUUUUUUUUCUCAUUUUUUAGAAUGUGUUUGUCAAAAUUAUCUGUUUUAAUAGCUGUUAGUUGUUUUAGUAGUGUUUAAAUGUUAGCUAUUUGAAUAGUUUUUCACGAAACACUAAAAACUAAAUGUUACAUAGGUUAAUUUUCACAAAACACUACCUUAACCUCUAAAAAUUGAAUUAAACGCUAUGUUACCGAGCACUAUAAAAAAAUAAUAAACACUAAAAAUUAUUUAAAAAACUGUUAUCGAUUACAACCUUAGUGUCUUUUCAAAUUUAUUCUCGUCCAGUUUUCUCUAUCAUUGUUCAUGGAUUAAGGCUUUAUUUUUCUACAGUGAGGUUUGUCAAUGUUUUCAACUCCUUUCCAUGAAGGUGUUCCUCCAUAUUUUAUAUAUAUAUUUUUUUGUUUUAUUGGUUUGGCAAUUUUGUUUGUUAGAUAAAAAUAUAUAUUAUUUAUGUUUGAGUUUGGAGCUGAUCUAACGAAAUUAUACAUUAUCAUCAAGUGAAGACAGUGAAUCAAUUAUAUGUUCUGAAAACUGUACUGAACCCUUCAAAUUCUAAUUUACUAAUGACGUGGAUAAUAAUUUCAUAGUUGGUUGGAGAGAGUUUCAUAAUUUGUCGAAAUGGCUUGGAAUAGUGAAAACAGUACUCCGGUAAGAUGCACAUAAAUCUUUAAUUGAGUGGCAGCAAGCCAAUUUAGAAAUUCUAAUAUAAUGUUAAUUUUACUAUGUUAUAUAUAAAUGGUCAAAUAUAUAAAAAUAUACUCAUUUACAUUAUUUAAUAUCUCAUUUAUCAAUCCAUCUUAAUCAUUGAGUAAAAACUGUUAAUAUUACUAUUUAAUCAUUCUGUUGAUUUAUCUUAUAAUUUCUUUUUAAAUUUUUUUUAGGAGCGAUAACAUCACAUCAGCAAGAGAUUUUAAUUAAGCAAAGGGAUGGACGAAGAAUUGUAAAAUUUAAUUAAUUUAAUUGAAUAAGAUAAAAAAAAUUAUUUUUGAUAGUUUACUAAUAUAAAAAUAUAACAUUUAAAUUAUACUGGAAAUUUCUAAAUUAGAAUUAUAUUCAAAAAUUUUAACAUAUAAGAUAAAUAUAUUAAAAAACAAAAUUUUAUAUGAAAUUAUUCAUAACUAUAUCUAAUACAUAAUAUAUUAUUAUUAUAAAAAAUAUUAAAAUGUCUAAUCAAGUUGGAGUAUUAAAUAUUUUUUUUGAGUUGAUUGUAAAAAAUAAAAUAUUUAUAACCAAAAUAAACAGAGCAAAAGAGUAUUAAAAAUAUUUAUUUUAUUUUAUUUUUUAACCAAAUUAAAUAUAACACUCUCUUUUGUCUCUCCGUAUGCUAAUCCUUUCCAUUCCCAUUUAUGUGUUAUAUAUAUAUGUAUAUAUAUAAUAUAAUAAUUAUUAAAAUUUGCAUAGUGGAUGGGAUAUUCAAUCCUUAUCUCUAUACUUUGUUUGUGGUUCUAAAAAAAAAGAAUGUAACAUUAUUAACCGUGAAAUCAAAGAUUUAAUAGGCACCGACUUGUAAAAAGCCAACCGUAUAAAUACUAUCAAUCCUUCGUUUUCUUCUCAUUACAUUGUCUCCAUAAAAACUCGAGCCCUAACCUUCAUUCGCCAUUACAAUCUCUCCUUUCUCCACUGUUAAAUACCUCUAAAACCAGACUAACCCUAAUUUUCCUCUUUUGUUUCUAUUAUCCGCCUUCGCGUAUUGUCUCUACAGUUUUAGCCACCGUCUCGGUCUUUCCUCGGAACCCUAAUUCUUCGUCGCUUCCUUUAGAAACCCUAAUAUCCGAACCUGAUCUUUCGAAACCCUCGAUUUGUCGAAAAUUCUAUAUAAUCCAAGACAAUAAUAAUAACUAUUAUAAGAAUUUUGUUGAUUCUGUUUGUUAAUUAUAUUUUGCAAAUAUUGUUUCUUUGAAUUUUUGAGAUAAGCCGUUGUUCUUC
rnacentral:lncRNA from 1 species